AGAGGAAGUAAAAGUCGUAACAAGGUUUCCGUAGGUGAACCUGCGGAAGGAUCAUUAAUGAAACUUCAAAGUCGGCCAAAGGUUGUUGCUGGUGAUUAUUCACAUGUGCACGCCUUUGGUCGCAAAUCCACACACACCUGUGCAUCUAUGACUCGAGGUUGUAAUGACUGAGAGUAACUUUUAUACACUCUUGUAUGUAAUGGAAUGUCUUUUUGUGCUAUAAUGUACAAUAUAAACAACUUUCAACAACGGAUCUCUUGGCUCUCGCAUCGAUGAAGAACGCAGCGAAAUGCGAUAAGUAAUGUGAAUUGCAGAAUUCAGUGAAUCAUCGAAUCUUUGAACGCACCUUGCACCCUUUGGUAUUCCGAAGGGUACGCCCGUUUGAGUGUCAUUGUAAUCUCACUUCUACAACUUUAUUGUUGUUUGAAUGUGGACUUGGAUGUUGCCGUUUUAUCAYGGCUCGUCUUAAAUGCCUGAGUGUACCCUGUUUUGCAGCGUAUCCAGUGUAAUAAACAUUUCACUAGAGUUGGUCGAAAGACCRCGUUGACUAUAUGGGCUCUAUGCUUCAAACCGUCUGCCAUGUGGACAAUUUCUUGACAAUUUGACCUCAAAUCGGGUGGGACUACCCGCUGAACUUAAGCAUAUCAAUAAGCGGAGGAAAAGAAACUAACAAGGAUUCCCCUAGUAACGGCGAGUGAAGAGGGAAAAGCUCAAAUUUUAAAUCUGGUGUCUUUGACUCCCGAGUUGUAAUCUAGAGAAGUGUUUUCCGUGUCGGACCGUGUACAAGUUCCCUGGAACGGGGCGUCAUAGAGGGUGAGAAUCCCGUAUAUGCCACGGACUACCGAUGCUCUGUGAUACACUCUCAACGAGUCGAGUUGUUUGGGAAUGCAGCUCAAAAUGGGUGGUAAAUUCCAUCUAAAGCUAAAUAUUGGCGAGAGACCGAUAGCGAACAAGUACCGUGAGGGAAAGAUGAAAAGCACUUUGGAAAGAGAGUGAAACAGUACGUGAAAUUGUUGAAAGGGAAGCGUUUGAAGUCAGUCGCAUCUGUUGGGGUUCAGCCUGGCUUUUGCCUGGUGUAUUUCCUUUCCGAUGGGUCAGCAUCAGUUUCGACCGAGGGAAAAAGACAUUUGGAAUGUGGCUGUCUUCGGGCAGUGUUAUAGCCUUGUGUUGUAUGUCUCGGUUGGGACUGAGGAUUGCAGCGCGCCAUAAAUGGCCGGGGGUCGCUCCUCUCGACACGCGCUUAGGAUGCUGGCAUAAUGGCUUUAAGCGACCCGUCUUGAAACACGGACC
rnacentral:rRNA from 1 species